rnacentral:lncRNA from 10 species
CCUAGGUCAACGUCCAGCCCCAGACCCAGCCCCGCCGCCGGAUCCACCGUGCCUCUGUUUCCCCAUUCCUGAGAAAUCGGAACGCCGGCGGCACCCCCUUCUCCGGGCCGGAGCCUGCGCCCUCCGGAUUGCGCGCCUCUGUCCAGGCGGCGGCCGGGGGUGGGAGCGCGCAGCGGGCCAACUUCCCUAAAGGGAACUGUCGGGAGGGCGCCCAGAAGGGAAAGACCAGGAAGCGCUGGGUGCUGAGCUGGAGUCUGGCCCCUUCCUGGGGGACCGGGGAGGGGGCUGAAGGACAAGAGCAAAAAUCACCCCCUGCAGAACCUAGGAGCUACGUGCAGAACUUUACAGAGUUGAGGCAGCGCCGUAGCUGAGGCCUGACUGCUAACCAGGGAGUGGAGCUCUGAGUGCACUCAAGGAACGCAAGGAAGCCAGGCAGGGAGGAAGGGGCCGGCGGAGUCUAACUUCAGCUGCCAUCUUUUUUGGUGGCACAUCUCGUGGUCACAGGUUGUAGGCUGUGUUUCUGGAAGGUUCAGGUACAGCGCAAGAUUCCACUUGUCUACUUGGCUAUCUCUGUGCCUGAGGUGCCAUGAGGCCAACGGACGUCACUCAAAUUCAUGUCCAGCCAAACUCCCACAGCAAAGAAUCCCGAACCGAGGAUGAAGUUCCUCUAGAAAGCAUUCCUAUCUGUGGCAAAGCUGCAGACACCCCGAAACCCAUCUCCCACCUCGUCUGGAAUUUCAGGAGCUUCGUUUGCUGAGCCAGUGCACUCAUGGCAACCCUGCAGGAAGCCAUGUGGCACCUCUGGGCUUUGCACCGUGUGUGUUCUCUUCUCUAAACUGCUGUUUUUGCUUAGCAAAGAGCCUCGCCUGCCACUGAUGAUGGCAGUGUGGGGUCAUUUUGAAUGGCUGCCUGACACUGCAUGGCACAUUCACGUACACAGUCCUGUGGGAUCGUGACAUAAUAAGAAAUAGAUAUUUCAUCUCUGCCCCUGGUUCCUGACACAGAGCUCCUAAAACCAUUGAAAUUUCCUGGAUAAUAGGAGCUUCUUCUGUUCCAAUGGGGUGACUCUUGGUGGGCUCCUGGAUGGGGGCUGGUCACUAGCGAGACCACACCAUGAUGAGAAACCUGGAGCUUCAGCCCUACCCCCACCUCUGAGCAGGGGAGACGGGCUAGCUAGAGGCGCGGUUCCUAAUGCGCCAUAUGCCUACAUGAAGACGUCUCCGUAAAAGUCCCUCAGCAGUGGGGGUUUGGAGAGCUCCCAGGUUGGUGAACACAUCUCUUUGUGGGGGGCGUGGAGCACCCCAGCUCCCCAGGGCUGGCAGCUCCUGUGCUGAGAACGCUUCUGGACUUCGCCUUACGCACCCUUCAUCUGACUCCUCAUCCCUAUCCUUUAUCGUAUCUUUUAUAAUAAACAUGUUUCUCGCCAGGCGCGGUGGCUCACGCCUGUAAUCCCAGCACUUCGGGAGGCUGAGGUGGGCAGAUCACCUGAGGUUGGGAGUUUGAGACCAGCCUGACCAGCAUGGAGAAACGCUGUCUCUACUAAAAAUAAAAAAUUAGCCAGGUGUGGUGGUGCAUGCCUGCAAUCCCAGCUACUAGCAAGGCUGAGGCAGGAGAAUCGCUCGAACCCAGGAGGCAGAGGUUGUGGUAAGCUGAGAUCGUGCCAUUGCACCCCAGCCUGGGCGACAAGAGCGAAACUGGGCCUCAAUAAACAAACAAACAAACAAACAAACAAACAUGUUUCUCUGAGGUCCAUAAGCCAUUCUAUUCGUAGCAAAGUAUCCAACCCAAAGAAGGGAUUGUAGGAACUCCUGAAUCACACUUGCUUGAUCAGAAGUACCAGCGACCCAGACCUUCCACUGGCACCUGAAGUGGGGGCAGGCUGUGGGACGGAGCCCCUAACCUGUGGGAUCCGCCUCAAACUGGAGGUGGAGAGUGUCAGAGUGAAUUGCUGGACUCGCAGUUGGUGUCCAGGGGCUAGGAGAAGUGGCUGAUGUGGGAACCCUCUGCCCCCAUUUGGUGUCGGAGGCAGAGUGUUCUAUGUGACAGAGGAGAGGAAAACAGUUUUUUUUCCUUUCAGCAAGGAUCUGAAGUGUGUCCCUUUCCCUAUCAAAAACAGUUCCCAGGGGAGCAUGAUCAUUUUUGUUCCUUUGCAGAUCCUCUAGGUAUUUUCUUAGAAAACAUUCCU